rnacentral:SRP_RNA from 1 species
GCCGGGUGCGGUGGUGGGCACCUGUAAUCCCAGCUACUUGGGAGGCUGAGGCAGAAGAAUCACUUGAACCCAGGAAGUGGAGGUUGCUGUGAGCUGAGAUCACACCACUGUACUCCAGCCUGGACGACAGAGUGAGAUUCUGUCUCAA